rnacentral:misc_RNA from 1 species
CCGCGCUUAACUUACAUGCGCAGCGCCUCUCUCUGAGGACUCUCAUCCAUCAGCUAUCACAUAAAGACCGUUGCUCAAUCAGCAACUUUACAGAGGUGGUGAUGAACUCACAAGCUUCUUCUUCACCUCUUCCUCCAGCCGCUUCGUGCGUGCAGUUCCGGCCUGAGCAGCUUCAGCUCGGCACAGGGAUCCCUCUCGGCUCCGGCGCUAUUAGCCAAGUUGUGCAGUGCCGUCUACACUGCGCCGCCGCGCCCUUGCUGCCGGUCGUGGUGAAGGUCGUCUCCAAGAUCCAGGUGCUGCAACAGGGUAAGGUGCAGAGUGUCAUGAACGAGAAGGCGACGCUGCAGCGCCUCGCUCCGUUUCCGUAUGUGGUCCGUCUCUACGGCACCGCCCAGUCCGAGGACGAGCUUUACUUUGUACUCGAGUGGCUUCCCCAUGGCGACCUGCUGCAGCACAUCCGAUACGUGGCACAGGAGCGUGUGCGGCAGUACAACGAGGAGGAGGCAGCAGCUGGAUCGACUGCUAGUAUGCCUAGUCCCGGUGCAGUAGCCGGUGGCACCACUGGAUCCGUGCCGGACGGUGCCCCGGUGGCGGAAGCAUCAGCGUCGACAGGUCCGUCUAAACGGGCCACGGCAAUUCCGGCCAGCAGCACGGCGCUCCGCUGCCUCGACUUUCAUGACAUUCAACUUAUAACGGCACAGCUGGUGCUAGCCCUCGAGCACACCGCCGACAGGGGUGUCGUGCUGCGUGACUUGAAGCCCGAGAAUGUGGCGUUCGAUGAGAAGUACCGCGCCUGCUUGCUGGACUUCGACACUGCGGACCUCGAGGGGGCCGUGAAUAUGCCGGAGACGAACGGCGGCGUAGCAUGCCCUCCACCGGUGGAUGCAGCUGCCGUUGAUGAAGCCGAAAGCAGCGAUGGCGGCGGUGGACACGCAGCAGCAGAGAACGGCGGCGCUUCUUCGUCUUCGCGACGGCGCCGCCUCACGGUCUCUCAAAUCCACCGUAUGCGGAGGAAAACGGCGAGCUUCUGCGGCACGGCGCACUACGUUUCACCGGAGAUGGUGGGGGAGUGCAAGUGGAGCUUCAGCAGCGACCUAUGGGCCCUCGGUGCACUCGUGUACGAGUUGGUGUACGGCGAGCACCUCUUUUCUGGCAUGACACCGUUUGAAGUCCUCCAGAAGGUAGUCCACGGCAGCUACGUGGAGAGACACGAGCUGUUUCCGCACAUCCACUUUGCCGACGACGCGGAUGGGGAAGCGGAGCAGUGCUGCGGCGAGCGUCGCUUCGCUGCUGUGAAGGAUUUCAUCCAGCAGCUGCUCUUGACGGACCCGCAGAAGCGGCUUGGCGUGCACCCCGACACGCACCGCUUCGACGCCACGGCGCUGCGCCGCCACGCGCUGUUCGACGGCUUUCAAUGGGAGCCGGUGGAGGCGCAGCUGCGCACCUUCCGCAUGCGCCGAUUCGACUUGGGGAGCUCGAAGGCGACGAGUGCUGCCUCAGGCGACGCGAGUUGUGAUGCGCGAGAGGCUUCGAAUGACGCUUCAGGUGCCUCGUCUGCAGCGCUGAAGUCGCUUGUAGCCGCGUGCGUCGAUCCAUCUGCAUCGCUCGCCUCGUGCUACCACAUCCUCCCUUUCAACGACCCCGCCUACGCAGAGUAUGUGUAUCGCGCGACGGCGGAUGCCAACCCGUUCGAGCAGUUCUUUACUCAAGAGGACACCGAGCCGGCACCCACGGCAGCGGCAGCAUCACAUGAGGCAGCGGGCUCAGCGGGUGGCAGCGCGCCUGGUGCAGUGCCGACACCUGCGGUGAAUUCCAGACCCGAGGCCGCCUCUGUAGUGGACGACGACGAGGUGGAUGACGUCAUUGAUGAUGUGGGCAUGCACUACACCGGCCGCCCCGCCGACAAGUACUUUCAGGACUACCGCGACACUCCCUGAGGUGGCAGUGCUGUGUGCCUGAAGGCCUUCUAUCUUUUUCUUGAGAGGUGCGUGUGGGAGGGGGGCGGUGUGGGGAUAGGGUGGACGGCGGUGGUGCCCACCCUCUUUUCUCGCCUUGCCCCAACCCUCCCUGGCUGCAUCACCAACGAGGUAGACUUACUCUCCUACUUGUUGGCAGCGCGGGCAGAUGGGAGGGCCAGGCCAGCAGAGGCACAUCCUCAUCACACCGUCGUCGUAAAGGUAUACGCAGCCGCACCUCAAACGUACGCGUGCUUGUGUGGGAAUGGCGAGCGGCUGUAGCGCUUCUCUACCUCACCUCGCCGACGCUGCUCAAACACACGCGUACGCACAACAUCAAAUGCAACUGAGGUGCCUCUUGGAUGGAGGUGGGCACGCACACCUCCGUACGAUGUAAUAGCAGAUACCUACCUGCCUCUGUGCGUGCGUGUGGGGCUGUGCCGAGAGAGGGAGUACUCGGCUUCGAUACCCAACCCAUCGCAUGGCGAGGUUUUUCCUCUUCUCUCUCUGAUCGCACAAUCACCCAUCACGAGAGAUGCGUACACGCAAGGUGCUUGCACAGCGACGUUAGCAGCAUGCC